CGCCACGCGCGCUGCUCACUUCAAUCCACCUGUUCACACCUCUGCGCUCGCGCAUCUAGCGAGGCUUCGUGCGCACGGCGGCGGCGGCGGUUCCCCACAUGACCGCGGCGGAUGGAGCAUCCAAGUCCUUCUCCUGACGCGUGUGUUGCUUUGGCUUUUUGCGCAUCAGCUCCUCUAAGUGAACGCAGCGGUGGCGGCGGCAGCUCGCCUGUGAUUCCACGCGCAGACUGCGGACUGAGCCGGAGCGCACUGAUUUAAGGAACCGAGCGUCACGUCGCCGCGGCGGGGAGGACGCGCGGCCGAUCAUCUGGAGAGGACUCCAGCGAUUGUGGCGAACGGGAGUCAUGGUGCCAACGCCGUGGCAUUCCAUGGCGCCGUGAGAAGUUUAGCCCUAAUCACCCCCCUUUCCCAUCCCCCCUCUCCUCCUUUUUUUCUUCUUUUUUUGGGGGGUGCGAUAGAUGUUUUUCGGUGGGAUCGGGCUUCCGUGGGGAAUUUUCCGCCGUCUCCCCCUUCAAUUAUGUUCACUUUUGCUGCCUUCUGCUACAUGCUGUCUCUGGUCCUCUGCGUGUCUCUCAUCUUCUUCGCGAUAUGGCACAUAACAGCCUUUGAUGAGCUCCAGGCUGACUUUAAGGUGCCGAUUGAUCAGGGGAAUCCACUCCAUGCGAGGGAGAGACUGAGAAACAUCGAGAGGAUCUGCAACCUGCUGAGGAAGUUGGUGCUGCCAGAGUACUCGAUCCAUGGGCUUUUCUGCAUCAUGUUCCUGUGCGCACAGGAGUGGCUGACCGUUGGGCUCAACAUCCCCCUCCUCUUUUACAACACAUGGAGCAGGUACUUUCAUUCCCCAACGGACACCAAGGAGCUGCUGUACGACCCCGCAUCUGUGAUGAAUGGUGACACGCUCAAGUUCUGCCUGAAGGAGGCCUGGUGCAAGCUUUCCUUCUUUGUCCUCUCCUUCUUCUACUAUCUCUACUGUGUUUGGAACCUGGACAUAUCCCUCUAUUAGGUCUAAUCAAUGGAAACAUUUAAAGACCCCAUGGUGCCAGCAACGGCAGGAGGAAGUAUGAUCUACUCCUUGGUUACCUCAUAAACAGCCAUUGUAUUAGCUACCAGGGAGAAUCGCCUCUGGAUACCUUUUUUACAACAGAGUGCCGGUCCAGAGGACAAAUAAGAACCAGACGAUGAGAUUUUUUUUUUCUUUUUUGCUGUGAAGCCAAAAAAAACAAAAAGAACAAAGAAAAAAAAAGAACUGGUUUCAGAGCUGCUUCUCUGCUUCACCAUGGUUUUGCUCUCGCCUGUGUGUGAAACCGUAGACUAAAUCUGCUGUUUACAGUCUGCUAAGGGGAGACCAGAGAUUUUCACUGCCUGACCAACAUUGGUAACAAACACAUUUAAAGAGGAGUUCAAAGGCCUCUCCUCUGGGAUGCUGCUGUGUGCACUGCAGACGUGGUCCGGAGGAUGAAAAAGCACAGCAGCGUUUGCACAAUGAAGCGCCCAUCUAUCCUGCUCAGCACCGUGCUCCACUAACUAGAGCGAUCAACAGUGCAAAGGAAAAAAGACAAGGGUCAAGCGGGCUGAACACUACAAAGAGAGGUGAGGUCUAGCAAAAAGCACCAGAACGAAGCAACUCUGCUGACAUUUUCCCGGAAGUUUUCCUGGAAGUUCACCAACGGCAGGAUUUCUAUCUAACAUUAAUGGCUUUUUGUGACGAGUGCUUUCUGUGUUUUCUUCAAAGAAUAUCUUCUAACUGAUCCACAGUAGUCUAAGCAGCAAAUGCCUUUUUUCAGUGUCGUGCUGGUGUUAGUGUGGGAAAUUCUUUUGAAAACUAUCCCCCCAGACCCAUCGAAAGCUUUUUGUAGUAGCUGAGCACGUAUUAUUUGCACAAACAGUGUCCUUGCUGUUGCACAAUGUUUUGCAAUAUUCUGGCUCAGUAUUCGAGGAAAUGUACAACGUUCUAGCCAUGUAGGUGAAGGUCUUCCAACCUGUCAGGAACGUAUUAGCCUUGUUUAAAGGCAGGGAAAUAAUGUGAUAAUAUUUUCUAAUGCUCUCUUUAGGUGACGGACCAAAAUGCUUGCUGUUUUAUUCUACCAAAAUGGAAAAACGAUAAUUCAGGAGAAUCCUUAGCACUGUUUUGGCGUGGAAACUCUACUUUAGAGGACGGAUUUUAUUAUUUUCCAACCUUUAUUAUAUGAAUGCGGGUGUAAAGGUAAUAUUCAGUGAUGAUUCCCUCAGAUGAAGCUUUCGAUAAUCAAAACUGGAAUAAAUUUGAAUUUUUCACCUGCAAAACAACAGAAUCCGUUUUGACCUGUGCACAUAUUUCUAUUCCGUUGUAUGAAUAGAGUGGAACUGACUACCAAUUGGCCACCAAGAGAGUUCAUUGAAUGAUCGGUGAUGAACAGAACCACUUUGAUAAAGAAUGUCUCAGUUCUCAGUUGUGCACAAGCCAACUGAGAAAACAAAACUGAAACCUUUUACAUCUUAGGUCUACAUUCAGGCUGCACUGGACAGUUCGUACUGAAAUGUACACAGACCAGGAAGAAAAUAAAGCAUAAGUAGUGGUUAUGCUCUUACGCACCGACACCUCUUUACUUCAUUCAUCCAUUACCUGUACCCUGCGGUUCCUGCUUGGAUGCCUGAUGACAGGUCACAAACAGACUAAGGCUAACACUUGCCCCUAUGGACCAACUUUCAAUUACGAGAAACACACUACUACCAGGAGAAAAUUCAUGGGUGCAAAAGGGAAAUCAUGAAAAAUGACCAAGCACCAAAACAUUGUGAAAAUUCAUCCAACAAGAUAUUUAGCCACUUCUUUAUGGUUUAUAGUUAUGUGGAUAUGAGCCUCCACCAGUGUGUGAAUGUGAAUGGGUGAAUGGGUCUGUGACUGUAAAGCGCUUUGAGCCUUGUAGGUAGAAAAGCGCUAUAUAAGAAUACGCCAUUUACCAUAUGAGCCGUGUGUCUUUCUUUAGCUUACAUCCACUCUUUGGCGAUAUAGGCUGUAUGAGUUUCAUCCCUGGGUAACCCUAAACCCUCAUUUCAGCUUAACUGUCUGACCCGCACCAGACUUCACACGAACCUUCAUAACAACACAACAAAACCUUAAGAAAGCAAAAAAAAAACCUUUGGGAUGGACCAUGAAGCCCUCAUGUGAUGACACUCAUAAGGUUGAUCCCAAGAGUCCAAAGAUUAUAAAACAAAUGGGUGAGAAUAGAAAGAGGGUUGUACACGGACAGCACAUUCUCUCUGGUCCAGAAGAGUUUCACUGUAGGUCUGACAACACAUUAGUCAGCAACUGUAUCCAGAAAAUUUGAGCAAUGUCUUGUAAUACUUUGAAAUUGCACUUGAGAGAUCCAUAAACACUGCCACCAUGACCCUCACGUAGCUGAUUUAUACCUUCCACCUGUAAUUAAAGACUAAAAUCUCAGUUAAAUGUGAUGCCAUUUAUUUCUGUAGGACAGCAGAGGUGAUCUCAGGGUGCUUUACAUAGAAAUAAAGAUUAAUAAAAUAAAGUUCAAUCCAAUUCAGACUAAAUUAUUGGAUUGUUUGGAAUAAAAUUAAACACAGGCAUUUCUAAUUUUGAUUCUUUUCAGUGCAUUUCAUAAUAAAAAAAAAUGAGAACUUAAUAUGCCCUCAUUGAAAUGUACUUUUUUCAAAAUUCUGUCACCAUUUUCCCCCUUUUCAACUUGACUAAAUUAGGCUGUAAUAGCAAAAACCGUGUGGACCUAGGUAGCUUCUCAGCGUCCACAUGCUGACCUGUGUAACCUUCACCCCAGAGAAGACACAAAUGCUCCCUUCUUUUUCUCUUACACCAACUUGCGCAUUUUUUCUUUUUUUAUUCUGUACAUGUAUCUGAACAAGUUCAAUUUCAAUAUUGUUUAUGAAAUAAAAUAUUUAAAAUCCAAAGAC